rnacentral:ncRNA from 2 species
CUCUUAUCAAGAGAAGCAGAGGGACUGGCCCGAUGAAGCUUCAGCAACCAACGGAAUGUAAGGUGCUAAAUCCAGCUGGCGUAAGCCGAAAGAUGAGAA